UGGGGAAUUUUGGACAAUGGGGGAAACCCUGAUCCAGCCAUCCCGCGUGUGCGAUGAAGGCCUUCGGGUUGUAAAGCACUUUUGGCAGGAAAGAAACGUCGCGGGUUAAUACCCCGCGAAACUGACGGUACCUGCAGAAUAAGCACCGGCUAACUACGUGCCAGCAGCCGCGGUAAUACGUAGGGUGCAAGCGUUAAUCGGAAUUACUGGGCGUAAAGCGUGCGCAGGCGGUUCGGAAAGAAAGAUGUGAAAUCCCAGAGCUUAACUUUGGAACUGCAUUUUUAACUACCGGGCUAGAGUGUGUCAGAGGGAGGUGGAAUUCCGCGUGUAGCAGUGAAAUGCGUAGAUAUGCGGAGGAACACCGAUGGCGAAGGCAGCCUCCUGGGAUAACACUGACGCUCAUGCACGAAAGCGUGGGGAGCAAACAGGAUUAGAUACCCUGGUAGUCCACGCCCUAAACGAUGUCAACUAGCUGUUGGGGGCCUUCGGGCCUUGGUAGCGCAGCUAACGCGCGAAGUUGACCGCCUGGGGAGUACGGUCGCAAGAUUAAAAACUUAAAUGAAUUG
rnacentral:rRNA from 1 species